UGUAUAAUGGGUCAGCGACUUAUAUUCUGUAGCAAGGUUAACCGAAUAGGGGAGCCGAAGGGAAACCGAGUCUUAACUGGGCGUUAAGUUGCAGGGUAUAGACCCGAAACCCGGUGAUCUAGCCAUGGGCAGGUUGAAGGUUGGGUAACACUAACUGGAGGACCGAACCGACUAAUGUUGAAAAAUUAGCGGAUGACUUGUGGCUGGGGGUGAAAGGCCAAUCAAACCGGGAGAUAGCUGGUUCUCCCCGAAAGCUAUUUAGGUAGCGCCUCGUGAAUUCAUCUCCGGGGGUAGAGCACUGUUUCGGCAAGGGGGUCAUCCCGACUUACCAACCCGAUGCAAACUGCGAAUACCGGAGAAUGUUAUCACGGGAGACACACGGCGGGUGCUAACGUCCGUCGUGAAGAGGGAAACAACCCAGACCGCCAGCUAAGGU
rnacentral:rRNA from 1 species